rnacentral:rRNA from 1 species
GCUCAGAACGAACGCUGGCGGCAGGCCUAACACAUGCAAGUCGAACGAUAAGCCACCUUCGGGUGGUGGACAGUGGCACAGGAUUGAGUAACGCGUGGGAACGUGCCUUUCGGUUCGGAAUAACCAAGGGAACCUUGGGCUAAUACCGGAUACGCCCUUCGGGGGAACGAUUCAUUGCCGAACGAUCGGCCAGCGUCGGAUUAGCUAGUUGGUGGGGUAAUGGCUCACCAAGGCGACGAUCCGUAGCUGGUCUGAGAGGAUGACCAGGGACCCUGGGACUGAGACACGGCCAAGACUCCUACGGGAGGCAGCAGUGGGGAAUAUUGGACAAUGGGCGAACGCCUGAUCCAGCCAUGCCGCGUGGGUGAAGAAGGCCUUAGGGUUGUAACCACCUUUCAGCGGGGAAGAUAAUGACGGUACCAGCAGAAGAAGUCCAGGCUAACUCCGUGCCAGCAGCCGCGGUAAUACGGAGGGGACUAGCGUUGUUCGGAAUUACUGGGCGUAACGCGCACGUAGGCGGAUUUGUAAGUCAGGGGUGAACUCCAGGGGCUCAACCUCGGAACUGCCUUUGAUACUGCGAAUCUCGAGUCCGGAAGAGGUGAGUGGAAUUCCUAGUGUAGAGGUGAACUUCGUAGAUAUUAGGAAGAACACCAGUGGCGAAGGCGGCUCACUGGUCCGGUACUGACGCUGAGGUGCGAACGCGUGGGGAGUAACCAGGAUUAGAUACCAUGGUAGUCCACGCCGUAACCUAUGGGUGCUAGCCGUCGGGG